rnacentral:rRNA from 1 species
UAGGAAUAUUGGACAAUGGGCGCAAGCCUGAUCCAGCCAUGCCGCGUGAGUGAUGAAGGCCUUCGGGUUGUAAAGCUCUUUAGCCGAUGAUUAUAAUGACUGUAGUCGGGAAAUAAGCCCCGGCUAACUUCGUGCCAGCAGCCGCGGUAAUACGAAGGGGGCGAGCGUUAUUCGGAAUCACUGGGCGUAAAGCGUGCGUAGGCCGCUUUGUAAGUUAGGAGUGAAAGCCCAGGGCUCAACCCUGGAAUUGCUCUUAAAACUACAAGGCUAGGAUUCGGGAGAGGAUAGCGGAAUUGUCAGUGUAGCAGUGAAUGCGUAGAUAUUGACAGGAACACCAGUGGCGCAAGCGGCUAUCUGGACCGACAUCGACGCUGAGGCACGAAAGCGUGGGGAUCAAAC